rnacentral:rRNA from 1 species
GACGAACGCUGGCGGCGUGCUUAACACAUGCAAGUCGAACGGAAAGGCCUGCUUUCCCUUGUGUAUUGCGGGUACUCGAGUGGCUAACGGGUGAGUACCACGUGAGUGAUCUGCCCCCAACUUGGGUAUAAGCCUGGGAAACUGGGUCUAAUUCCCGAUAUGACUGCAGGGUGGUGCCUGUGGUGGAAACCCAUUUUCUAGCGGUUGGGGAGGAGCUCGCGGCCUAUCAGCUUGUUGGUGGGGUAAUGGCCUACCAAGGCGGCGACGGGUAGGCGGGCUGAGAGGGUGGACGGAGAGAUUGGGACCGAGAGACGGCGCAGACUCUUACGGGAGGCAGCAGUGGGGAAUAUUGGACGAUGGGCGGAAGCCUGAUGCAGCGACGCCGCGUGGGGGAUGACGGCCUUCGGGGAGUAAACGCCUUUCGACCGAGAGGAAGCCACCUGGUUGGAAGGGUGGUGACGGUAGUGGUAGAAGAAGCACCGGCUAACUACGUG